GGAUGGAUCACCUCCUUUCUAAGGAAACCAAUAAAAUCAAUCAUCUUCAGUUUUGAAAGACUUAGGAUAACUAAGUUUUUCUUCGUGACUUCACGAAGGGCCUAUAGCUCAGUUGGUUAGAGCACACGCCUGAUAAGCGUGAGGUCGGUGGUUCAAGUCCAUUUAGGCCCACCAGAGUUAUAGGUGUCGUAAGAACACAAAUUCUUUGAAAAUUAGGUAAAUAAUAGUUAUUUUUCCGGAACAUUAAGGGAAAUAAGAGCGCACAGUGGAUGCCUAGGCACCAAGAGCUGAUGAAGAACGCCAUUAACGGCGAUACGCUACGGGGAGCUGUACAUAAGUGUAGAUCCGUGGAUUUCCGAAUGGGGCAACCUACUAUAAGUAGUUAUAGUAUCAAUUUAUUAGGUAACUAAUUGAUUGAAAGGAACGCAGUGAACUGAAAUAUCUAAGUAACUGUAGGAAAAGAAAGUAAUAACGAUUCCGGUAGUAGUGACGAGCGAACCCGGAACAGCCGGAUACCAAUUUCUAGUUAUCAAAUUUUAAUUAACUCGAAAUAGUUGGAAAACUAUAUCCUAGAAGGUGAAAAUCCUGUAGAGGUAGAUUAAAAUCUAGGGUAUCCUUAAGUACGGCGAGACACGAGAAAUCUUGUCGGAAGAUAGGAGGACCAUCUCCUAAGGCUAAAUACUCCUUGGUGACCGAUAGUGAACUAGUACCGUGAGGGAAAGGCGAA
rnacentral:sRNA from 1 species